AUUGAACGCUGGCGGCAGGCCUAACACAUGCAAGUCGAACGGUAACAGGAAACAGCUUGCUGUUUCGCUGACGAGUGGCGGACGGGUGAGUAAUGUCUGGGAAACUGCCUGAUGGAGGGGGAUAACUACUGGAAACGGUAGCUAAUACCGCAUAACGUCGCAAGACCAAAGAGGGGGACCUUCGGGCCUCUUGCCAUCGGAUGUGCCCAGAUGGGAUUAGCUAGUAGGUGGGGUAACGGCUCUCCUAGGCGACGAUCCCUACCUGGUCUGAGAGGAUGACCACCCAGCUGGGAUGUGAGACACGGCCGAGACUCCGACGGGGGGCAGCAGUGGGGAAUAUUGCACAAUGGGGGAAAGCCUGAUGUAGCCAUGCCGCGUGUAGGAAGAAGGCCCUCGGGUUGGAAAGUACUUUCAGCGGGGAGGAAGGGAGUAAAGUUAAUACCUUUACUCAUUGACGUUACCGGCAGAAGAAGCACCGGCUAACUCCGUG
rnacentral:rRNA from 1 species